UAGAGUUUGAUCAUGGCUCAGGAUGAACGCUAGCGGGAGGCCUAACACAUGCAAGCCGAGCGGUAGAGUUUCUUCGGAAACUUGAGAGCGGCGCACGGGUGCGGAACACGUGUGCAACCUGCCUUUAUCUGGGGGAUAGCCUUUCGAAAGGAAGAUUAAUACCCCAUAAUAUAUUGAUUGGCAUCAGUUAAUAUUGAAAACUCCGGUGGAUAAAGAUGGGCACGCGUAAGAUUAGAUAGUUGGUGAGGUAACGGCUCACCAAGUCAACGAUCUUUAGGGGGCCUGAGAGGGUGAUCCCCCACACUGGUACUGAGACACGGACCAGACUCCUACGGGAGGCAGCAGUGAGGAAUAUUGGACAAUGGGUGAGAGCCUGAUCCAGCCAUCCCGCGUGAAGGAAUAAGGACCUAUGGUUUGUAAACUUCUUUUGUACAGGGAUAAACCUACUCACGUGUGAGUAGCUGAAGGUACUGUACGAAUAAGCACCGGCUAACUCCGUGCCAGCAGCCACGGGUAAUACGGAGGGUGCAAGCGUUAUCCGGAUUUAUUGGGUUUAAAGGGUCCGUAGGCGGG
rnacentral:rRNA from 1 species